rnacentral:rRNA from 1 species
CUGAAAGCAUCUAAGCACGAAACUCAUCUCAAGAUUAGAUUUCUUUUAAGGGUCGUUAUAGACGAUGACGUUGAUAGGUCACAAGUGUAAGUGUAGAAAUACAUUUAGCUGAGUGAUACUAAUUACCCGUAGACUUUGAUUUGCUUUUAUAUAUU